rnacentral:rRNA from 1 species
UCCGGUGACAAUGGCGAGAGGGACCCACCCGUUCCCAUCCCGAACACGGCAGUUAAGCCUCUCAGCGCUGAUGGUACUUGGACCGCAGGGUCUUGGGAGAGUAAGUCGUUGCCGGAU